AUUGAACGCUGGCGGCAUGCCUAACACAUGCAAGUCGAACGGCAGCACAGCAUGUAGCAAUACAUGUGGGUGGCGAGUGGCGGACGGGUGAGUAACGCGUGGGAAUCUGCCCUAUAGUGGGGGACAACCCGACGAAAGUCGGGCUAAUACCGCAUACGCCUACGGGGAAAGGGCUUCGGCCGCUAUUGGAUGAGCCGCGUCGGAUUAGCUAGUUGGUGAGGUAAUGGCUCACCAAGGCGACGAUCCGUAGCUGGUCUGAGAGGACGAUCAGCCACACUGGGACUGAGACACGGCCCAGACUCCUACGGGAGGCAGCAGUGGGGAAUAUUGCACAAUGGGCGAAAGCCUGAUGCAGCAAUGCCGCGUGUGUGAAGAAGGCCUGCGGGUUGUAAAG
rnacentral:rRNA from 1 species